GAGACACCCGUCCGGCGCAAGACUCGCUUCAGUGGGGCUUUGGUGCUCACUGAGUCUGCCCCCUGAAUGUGUCCUU
rnacentral:pre_miRNA from 1 species